GAAAAGCACAUUGAAACCGUUAAAUCAUAAGGAAACAAACACUGGGAAUUUAGAGGGACAAAUUACUAACUGCUCCAUCUACCUCAUUUCCUUAGACCACUUGAAUUUUUGAAACAUAUUGCAAUUAAAUGAAUUUGUGGUUUUUCUGGAUUUGGAACAAUGGCAAGAUUUGAAGAUGCUCAGACAGAAAGCUUCCUGCCUUGGGAAACAUAGAGUCAACACUAAAAUUUGUCCCAUCAAGUAGAAUCCUUAGUUCAGUCCAGGAUGGGCUCAGGGAUCUGAAUUUUGCUGUGCCUGGUGGUACAUGCUUGUAAUCUGAGGAAGCUGAGGCAAGUGGAUUGCAAAUUCCAGGCCUAUCUCAGCAACAUGUGCUAAGGACUGAAUUCAGGAGCUCAUGCAUGCUAGGCAAAUGUUCUGUCAUUGAGCUUCACCCAUCUUGAGAGCAUAGAAUUCUUAGUAUCUGAACUAAGCUCAACUUCUCAGAAGAGACUCCCCAGUAAAGUGGAUGCAUUUGCCUCUUGAGCUCAAGAUUGGGCUGAUAAAAUUCAAGACAGUACCUGCUACAUAGUGGGAUUUGUGACAUCUCUCACACAGAGUCAGUUCUGAGAUGGCCCAAGGCCCUCAAAGGAUGAGAAAAGCACAGGACUGGUGUGUGGGAAAUGCAUCAACCACAGUGCAACCACUGAUAUGAAAGACAGUGCUUAAGGUUCUCUGGGGAACACUUGGACAUGUCAGAGUUGGCAUCAUCUAUAAGAGACCCUAAUUGGUACUGAAUCAUGACUCUUUCCUUUCUCUCUCUUAUGUUGUAAAUAUUAGGUGUCCCCCAAAAGCUCAUGUUUGAGAAGAUGCAAGAAGAUUUAGAGGUGACAUGAUUGACUCAUAAGAGUCUUGGUUCAGUCAGUGCAUUAGUCCUCCAAUGGAUUAAUUGGGCAGAAACUGCAGGCACGUAGGGUGUGACUGGAGGAAGUAGAUUCCUAGGGGGUAUGCACUUGGGGUACAUAUUUUGUUCUUGGUGAGUGGAACUAAAUCUCUCUCUCUCUCCUGGUGCCCUGUACUGAGUUGCUAUCCACACCCAUGCCCUUCUACCAUGAUGUUUUGCCUCACCUUGGGCCCAGAGCAAUGGAGUUGGCCAUCUGUGGAAUGAGAUCUCUGAA